GAUGAACGCUGGCGGCGUGCCUAAUACAUGCAAGUCGAGCGAACAGAUGAGGAGCUUGCUCCUCUGACGUUAGCGGCGGACGGGUGAGUAACACGUGGAUAACCUACCUAUAAGACUGGGAUAACUUCGGGAAACCGGAGCUAAUACCGGAUAAUAUAUUGAACCGCAUGGUUCAAUAGUGAAAUACGGUUUUGCUGUCACUUAUAGAUGGAUCCGCGCCGCAUUAGCUAGUUGGUAAGGUAACGGCUUACCAAGGCAACGAUGCGUAGGCGACCUGAGAGGGUGAUCGGCCACACUGGAACUGAGACACGGUCCAUGCUCCUACGGGAGGCAGCAGUAGGGAAUCUUCCGCAAUGGGCGAAAGCCUGACGGAGCAACGCCGCGUGAGUGAUGAAGGUCUUCGGAUCGUAAAACUCUGUUAUUAGGGAAGAACAAAUGUGUAAGUAACUAUGCACGUCUUGACGGUACCUAAUCAGAAAGCCACGGCUAACUACGUG
rnacentral:rRNA from 1 species